rnacentral:tRNA from 1 species
UCCGCGGUAGCUCAAUCGGCAGAGCGCUUCUCUGUUAAAGAAGAUGUUACUGGUUCGAGUCCAGUCCGCGGAG